AGUGAACGCUGGCGGUAGGCCUAACACAUGCAAGUCGAACGGCAGCACAGUAAGAGCUUGCUCUUACGGGUGGCGAGUGGCGGACGGGUGAGGAAUACAUCGGAAUCUACUUUUUCGUGGGGGAUAACGUAGGGAAACUUACGCUAAUACCGCAUACGACCUACGGGUGAAAGCAGGGGAUCUUCGGACCUUGCGCGAUUGAAUGAGCCGAUGUCGGAUUAGCUAGUUGGCGGGGUAAAGGCCCACCAAGGCGACGAUCCGUAGCUGGUCUGAGAGGAUGAUCAGCCACACUGGAACUGAGACACGGUCCAGACUCCUACGGGAGGCAGCAGUGGGGAAUAUUGGACAAUGGGCGCAAGCCUGAUCCAGCAAUACCGCGUGGGUGAAGAAGGCCUUCGGGUUGUAAAGCCCUUUUGUUGGGAAAGAAAAGCAGCAGGUUAAUACGCCGCUGUUCUGACGGUACCCAAAGAAUAAGCACCGGCUAACUUCGUG
rnacentral:rRNA from 1 species